UAUGUAAACCCUGAGGACCUAAUCGAAAAUACAGUAAAUAAAAGGACUAAAUCGUAAAAUGCACAAAAUGACAAAUUCCACCGUUUAAGCCUCUAUGCCUUCGUUCUUAAGGAAGCAGAGAAGGCAGCUGCAUGGAUGAUCAGGGAAAGAAAGAAAGAAGAAGAAGAAGAAGGAGAAGAAGAAGAAGAAGAAGAAAAAAAA
rnacentral:lncRNA from 1 species